UACGUAGGGUGCGAGCGUUGUCCGGAAUUAUUGGGCGUAAAGGGCUCGUAGGCGGUUUGUCGCGUCGGGAGUGAAAACAUCGGGCUUAACUCGAUGCUUGCUUUCGAUACGGGCAGACUUGAGGUAUGCAGGGGAGAAUGGAAUUCCUGGUGUAGCGGUGAAAUGCGCAGAUAUCAGGAAGAACACCCGUGGCGAAGGCGGCUCUCUGGGACGGUACUGACGCUGAGACGCGAAAGCGUGGGGAGCAAACAGG
rnacentral:rRNA from 1 species